rnacentral:rRNA from 1 species
UACGUAGGCAGCAAGCGUUGUUCGGAGUUACUGGGCGUAAAGGGUGUGUAGGCGGUUCUUUAAGUUUGGUGUGAAAUCUCCCGGCUCAACUGGGAGGGUGCGCCGAAUACUGAGGGACUAGAGUACGGGAGAGGAAAGUGGAAUUCCUGGAGUAGCGGUGAAAUGCGUAGAGACCCGGAGGAACACCGGUGGCGAAGGCGGCUUCCUGGUCUGCAACUGACGCUGUGGCGCGAAAGCUAGGGGAGCAAACGGG